UACGAAGGGGGCUAGCGUUGUUCGGAAUUACUGGGCGUAAAGCGCACGUAGGCGGCUUGUCGCGUCGUUCGUGAAAACCUGCAGCUCAACUGCAGGCUUGCGGGCGAUACGGGCAGGCUAGAGUUCGGUAGGGGAGACUGGAAUUCCUGGUGUAGCGGUGAAAUGCGCAGAUAUCAGGAGGAACACCUGCGGCGAAGGCGGGUUGCUGGGCUGACACGUGACGCUGAAGUGCGAAAGCUAGGGGAGCGAACGGG
rnacentral:rRNA from 1 species